UUAUUUCAGCCCAAAAGUUCUUUUUUUUCUUUACCUAAAAUUAAAAUGGCCCAACUCCAAAAUCCCCAAAAGUAUCAGCUAAUCCAAAAUAUUUUCGGCCUGACCCGGCCCAAAAUUCCUUCUCCUUCCCCCUUAACCCACACUACCAACAACGGUAGUAUAAACACCAAUGCUCAAACCACCGGACAGUGGAAAAUCCGGUGGUCUUUAGCCUUCUCCUCCCUUUUUCCAUCAGUCCUGCAUCUUUUCCAUUAACUUUACAUCAGUUCAACAACUUUUCUUGAUCAAAUCAGACCCAAAAGAUGUCCACCACCACUAUCAUUUCUGUAAAAGGAGAAGAGAGUGAAGAACCACCAGAUUUGAGGUCGUUAUUCCUUAAAUCCGGUGGUUCCAGGUCCUUCACCUUCAAACGGCUUUUUCCCCAUCCACAUCAGUCUGAUUUUCAGGCCCUCUUCUUCCAAUUUGGUCCCUUUGUGUCUCUCUGAGAUUUGGGUAUUUUAAGAAUUCAAAUUUGAAUUCUCAGAACCUCUGUUGAGAGUUGUUCCAAUGACCAUCAAGUUCACCUAUAAAAGCAGCCCUUUGGACUCUAUAAAAAAAGAAAAGAAGAGAGGAGGAGUCAUCAGAAAACUAUCAUAAUUAGCAUUUAGUAUCAGGAAGAAUCACCAGGACUUAGAAAAUAGCACCAAGUAUUAGUUCAUACUACUAUUCCCUUCUUAUUCUCUGGCUGAGUUGCAAGUAUGAGUUCGAGUUCGAGUUUAAUCUCCGAAGCUCUAGUUCGUUGCUCCAUGCAAGGUAAACUUUAUCCUAACUUAAUUACGCGGCACUUAGCAUCUGUUAAUUAUUGGUCAUAUGGUUAGUCAUGGUGUAGCUGGCUGAUUCUGAGCAUAAAUAAUGAAAAUGGCCAUUUGUUCAUAUUAGAUAUAUGCUGGGUUAAAUAUUGCAAUUUGACGGAAACAACCUCUCUACUUCCUUAGAGGUUGUGGUAUGGUCUGCGUACACUCUACCCUCCCCAGAUCCCACAAUGUGGGAAUCUACUGGGUUUGUUGUUGUUGUGUAAAUAUUGCAAUUUGUGAUUUGAUCUGAAAACUAACAGAUUCUCGGUUUAAUUCAGUUUGUUUGUUUUGAAUUAAGUAGUUCUGGGAACAUUUGGUUUUAUGCAUGUUUGAUGAUAUUUAUAGGAUAUGUACGACCUUGAAUUACCUUGAAGUGUACUUUAGGAAGUUUUGAGUUCUCCAAUAGGUUCGGCAGACAGUUUGAAGUCGUUAUAAUGUUGAUUUGGAUGCCUUGAACGUAGUAAUAGUGGCUUAGCUAUGUCUCUGUUUGUCUUCCAUGUUUGCAAGAUGCUAGCAACUUUUAGUUCAUCAUGGAAGGGCUCUAAAAUACUUAACUAUAAGUAUGUUUGGUUGUCCAUUAUGAAAUUUGUGGAAGACUAGUUGCCGUAAGUAUGUUUGAUUGUCCAUUGUGGAAUUUGUGGAAAACUAGUCGUGACGGCAACUACCUUGUUAUCUCCCUGGUUCACUGUACAUUUUUGAACACUUUCAGCUUUCAAAUUCGAAGAAGGACAUAGUGCCAUUUUAAAACUUUGAAAUUAUUGCUGGUCUGUCCCAUAGUAUAUAUGAAGCUCCUUUCUUAAUCAUCUUAGGCUCUUAUCUAAGUUCAAAUUUUUGUUAAGGACUAAACAGAUAGUUAUGGUAUCCACUGUCAAAUUCAUGUGCAAUAUUAUUAAAAAUACUCUUCUAGGCAGUGAUUGUAAGUGUUUCUAUUUCAACAUUUAAUUUUCCUCCACUGUUUCUUGUCAUACUUUUUACCUUUGUAAAUUCUACAUUUCUGCGUCCUAGUCAAAUGUAGUAUAUGUUGUUUCAUGCACAUGUAGUGUAUUGAACUUUAGAUAAUAACUGCAGUAAUAUAGGUCAUUCUGAUGUUGUCCAGAUACUCACAAGAGGCUACACGAUUUCUUUAUAACUAAUAGAUGCCUAUGAUGAGUUUUCUUGUAGUGAUGUAAUUUUUAUUCUUUGUAUGUCUCGUAAGAAUCUGGUUGAUUUUGUGUUUAAGAACUAGUAUUCUCUUCUUAAAUGGUAAAGUUCUUUAGUUUGACAAAUAAGGCUCCUCACGAGUUCUUGUAAACUACUGGCUGCGUUCUAGUGUCCCCUUUGUCAUCUCGAAUUUAGUAAGGUCUGAUUAAAUUUAUUUGUCUUAAAAAAGUGGUGUGGUCGAUACUAGUCGAGCUACAACCAUAAGAUUAGUCAGUAGUAAUUACGCCACGUUGCAUCAUUCUUUUAAAUGUCGUCUUAGACUUGAAAUUUAUUUCCAUAAUUGUUGUCCAGUACAUAUGAAAAAAGGAGGCUAAACCUGUAGCUGUGAUCCAUUAUAUAUGCAUUAUUAUUUUGUAACUGUGGCUGCAUGAUGUUCUUUUUCAUCUUUAUUUGUGUGGUUGGUUAAAUUUGUAUAGUAACAGGAUCUUGAAUAUGUUGCAAAGAUUCGAACUCAUUUGUAAGUUUGCUCAAGUUCACAAAAUGUACACAUGUUUUUCCAAUGACGUCUCAGUUUAGAUAGUGUUUAAACAUCAUGAUCCAUUCUUUUUUUUUCUUUCUAGAAUCAGUAUUAGUUUAAUGAAUUCAUUUAGCUAUUUAUAGUGUGAUGGUUUGAUUGAAUCUUCUUUUCUUUUCUUCUAAGCUAGACUCGAUUUUACACUGUGGUUUCCUUAUUUUCCUUUCAAAGAGAACAUGAAAUUUGGUUCAACUCAUACUUUUCCUGCGCAAAUAAAAGUGGUCUGUCAAUGCAUUGUAUAUCUGCCAUUUAAAGUGUUAAAACUUUGUGACCUCUUCCUUAGUUUCUUAAAAACAUAGGUGAGUUUAUCGAGAGCGCAAAAAUGGGACUGCAUGCUUUAACUAGGUAACUAUUUGGAACUUUAGAAUCACUCUGAAUUCAAGUUUGAUCAGUGUUACUGAGAUAAUUUUGGUAAUCUGUUCAGCCAGAGUAUUUAACCAAAGGUUUAGUUAUGUAAGGAAAAAAAGGGGAGAGAAGUUGUAGUCCAGUUUCGAUAGUAUCAAAUUCUUAAAACGUGCUAAAAACUUUUUCUUUCUGAUAAUGUGUGACCUUUUUUUAUUUUUUUUACAAUCUAGCAGAUGUGUGAAACUUGUGGGAACCAAGGCUUGUUGUUUAAUCUUCUUACUCUUCAAGUAGUUUGCAUAUAAGUAGAACCAAAGUUGUUAAUUCAAUACUUUCUUUUCUUCUCAUGUUCACAAGUGAUAAGUUAUGUGCAUUGGGCUUCUCCCUUUUGUUUUACUACUAUGUAUUUAAAUGUUUGUCCCUCUCGAAUUAAGUGUGUUGUAUAAAAUGGUAAUUGGCAAGUUAUAUUGUAUUUAGUGAUGACUUAAUUAACUAUAUGAAUGUAAAUAUUGCGGUUCGUUCCCUCUUAUGCAAAAGAUAAACUAUGACAUAAGGUCGCUCACUGGUUGUUUAGUUAAUGAAAUAAAUUUUAACCUUCUAAGAUCCAUAUUCCAUGUGAGUUUUUUGUUUGGACGUGAGUUUUAAUUGCUAGUCUCAUGUAUUAAUUUUUGUUAAGCUCCAAUUUACUUGGUUAUCCUUAUCUUCUUUGCUUUUACAUGUUUAAUCGGGAGCGCGUUGGGGUUUCACGGCUUGACGGCUUGACUCCAUCUCUGUCCAAAUCAAAGAAGCGAGCAAAUUGCAUUACGUAUCUCCAUCUAGCAAUCUAGCUCCUCAUUCCCCUUUAUAAGCUCUAUUCUUCUUUUGUAGACACUUAUUAUUAUUGUUUAUUUAAUAUUUCACACAUUGUUAUUUAAAAUUGGUGUUUUGUAUGUUUUUGUUUGAAUGAACCGUUAUAUAUCGUAGAAAAUCCUAUUUUUUUCAAGAUUUUAUACUUAGCAUAAUCACUAGGCUUCAAUAUAUACUUUAUAUCGUUAAAUUUGGUAGAUUAAAACAUGCCUUUUAGGAUAAGCGAUCGAGUUUGUUAGAAUCCCUUAGUACUUCUUUAAUACGAAUUAGUCCUACUCUUAAAAUCAGUUAGUUCUCCACUAAGUAGUAAUAUCGGAUCAAUAAAACCUAAGUUUUUGUGUUAAACUCGAAAAAUUGGCUUUGCUAAUUUUAGAUAUGGUAAAUCAAAUUUUAUUUUUUUCAAUUAAUUUCAAAUAAAAGGUGGCACUUCGCAAGUUCCUUUUAAGGAUUUCUAAUGACAAGAAAAAAUAUUUUAUUUAUUUUAAUUAUAAUAAAUAAUAAAUUCUCAAGCCAUUAGAUAUUUAAACAAUUAUGUAUUUUAUCUAUUCACUUAGUGUAAGAUAAUUAACUUAUUUUUAUGAAAUUUAAUUUUAAAAAACAAA
rnacentral:lncRNA from 1 species